rnacentral:rRNA from 1 species
GGGGUACUCGAGCGGCGAACGGGUGAGUAACACGUUGGAAUCUGCCCUCAACUCAGGGAUAGCCCACUGAAAAGUGGAUUAAUACCGGAUAGUCCCUUCGGGGUAAAGCUUUUGCGGUUGAGGAUGAGCCUGCGUUCUAUCAGCUUGUUGGUGAGGUAAUGGCUCACCAAGGCUAUGACGGAUAGCUGGUUUGAGAGGAUGACCAGUCACAAUGGGACUGAGACACGGCCCAUACUCC